AAUUCGCCCUUAGAGUUUGAUCCUGGCUCAGAUUGAACGCUGGCGGCAUGCCUUACACAUGCAAGUCGAACGGUAACGCGGGGCAACCUGGCGACGAGUGGCGAACGGGUGAGUAAUAUAUCGGAACGUGCCCAGUCGUGGGGGAUAACUGCUCGAAAGAGCAGCUAAUACCGCAUACGACCUGAGGGUGAAAGCGGGGGAUCUUCGGACCUCGCGCGAUUGGAGCGGCCGAUAUCAGAUUAGGUAGUUGGUGGGGUAAAGGCCUACCAAGCCGACGAUCUGUAGCUGGUCUGAGAGGACGACCAGCCACACUGGGACUGAGACACGGCCCAGACUCCUACGGGAGGCAGCAGUGGGGAAUUUUGGACAAUGGGGGCAACCCUGAUCCAGCCAUGCCGCGUGCGGGAAGAAGGCCUUCGGGUUGUAAACCGCUUUUGUCAGGGAAGAAAUCCUUUGGGCUAAUAACUCGGAGGGAUGACGGUACCGAAG
rnacentral:rRNA from 1 species